GAUGAAGAACGUAGCGAAAUGCGAUAAGUAGUGUGAAUUGCAGAAUUCAGUGAAUCAUCGAAUCUUUGAACGCACAUUGCGCCCCUUGGUAUCCCGAGGGGCAUGCCUGUUCGAGCGUCAUUUCACCACUCAAGCCUGGCUUGGUGUUGGGCGACGUCCUCUUUGGGGACGCGCCUCGAAACGCUCGGCGGCGUGGCACCGGCUUUAAGCGUAGCAGAAUCUUUCGCUUUGGAAGUCGGGGCCCCGUCUGCCGGAAGACCUGCUCGCAAGGUUGACCUCGGAUCAGGCAGGGAUACCCGCUGAACUUAAGCAUAUAAAUAAGCGGAGGA
rnacentral:misc_RNA from 1 species